rnacentral:rRNA from 1 species
AAUACGUAGGUCCCGAGCGUUGUCCGGAUUUAUUUGGGCGGUAAAGACGAGCGCAGGCGGUUAGAUAAGUCUGAAGUUAAAGGCUGUGGCUUAACCAUAGUACGCUUUGGAAACUGUUUAACUUUGAGUGCAAGAGGGGAGGAGUGGAAUUCCAUGUGUAGCGGUGAAAUGCGUAGAUAUAUGGAGGAACACCGGUGGCGAAAGCGGCUCUCUGGCUUGUAACUGACGCUGAGGCUCGAAAGCGUGGGGAGCAAACAGGAUUAGAUACCCUGGUAGUCCACGCCGUAAACGAUGAGUGCUAGGUGUUAGACCCUUUCCGGGGUUUAGUGCCGCAGCUAACGCAUUAAGCACUCCGCCUGGGGAGUACGACCGCAAGGUUGAAAACUCAAAGGAAUUGACGGGGGCCCGCACAAGCGGUCGACGCGAAAGAACCUUACCAGGG